rnacentral:rRNA from 1 species
AUUGAACGCUGGCGGCAGGCCUAACACAUGCAAGUCGAGCGGAUGAAGGGAGCUUGCUCCUGGAUUCAGCGGCGGACGGGUGAGUAAUUCCUAGGAAUCUGCCUGGCAGUUGGGGAUAACGUCCGGAAACGGGCGCUAAUACCGCAUACGUCCUGAUGUAGAACGUGGUGGAUCUUCGGACCUCACGCUAUUUGAUGAGCCUAGGUCGGAUUAGCUAGUUGGUUGGGUAAAGGCCUACCAAGGCGACGAUCCGUAACUGGUCUGAGAGGAUGAUCAGUCACACUGGAACUGAGACACGGUCCAGACUCCUACGGGAGGCAGCAGUGGGGAAUAUUGGGCAAUGGGCGAAAGCCUGACCCAGCCAUGCCGCGUGUGUGAAGAAGGUCUUCGGAUUGUAAAGCACUUUAAGUUGGGAGGAACGGCAGUAAGUUAAUACCUUGCUGUUUUGACGUUACCAACAGAAUAAGCACCGGCUAACUUCGUG